UACGUAGGGUGCGAGCGUUGUCCGGAUUUAUUGGGCGUAAAGAGCUUGUAGGCGGCUCGUCACGUCGGGUGUGAAAACUCGCGGCUCAACCGCGAGCCUGCACCCGAUACGGGCGGGCUGGAGUUCGGCAGGGGAGACUGGAAUUCCUGGUGUAGCGGUGGAAUGCGCAGAUAUCAGGAGGAACACCGGUGGCGAAGGCGGGUCUCUGGGCCGAUACUGACGCUGAGAAGCGAAAGCGUGGGGAGCGAGCCGG
rnacentral:rRNA from 1 species